rnacentral:rRNA from 1 species
UACGUAGGGACCAAGCGUUGUUCGGAUUUACUGGGCGUAAAGGGCACGUAGGCGGCAAUUCAAGUCAUCUGUGAAAUCUCCGGGCUUAACCCGGAACGGUCAGAUGAUACUGCUUUGCUAGAGUGCGGAAGGGGCAAUCGGAAUUCUUGGUGUAGCGGUGAAAUGCGUAGAUAUCAAGAGGAACACCUGAGGUGAAGACGGGUUGCUGGGCCGACACUGACGCUGACAGCGCGAAAGCCAGGGGAGCAAACGGG